AACGCACGAGACCUGCGGACCUGCGGAAGGAUCAUUACCGAGUUAUCCAACUCCCAACCCCUGUGAAUUAUACCUUUAAUUGUUGCUUCGGCGGGACUUCGCGCCCGCCGGGGACCCAAACCUUCUGAAUUUUUUAAUAAGUAUCUUCUGAGUGGUUAAAAAAAAUGAAUCAAAACUUUCAGCAACGGAUCUCU
rnacentral:misc_RNA from 1 species